GUGAUGGGUCGCCCCACCGCGGCGCCAAACGCAAGAAUGGCGACGAGGAAAGUCCGGGCAACGCAGAGCACCCUGCUUCCUAACGGGAAGGACUGGUAAGCGUAAAGUGAACCAGGACAGCCAGUGCCACAGAAAAGUACCGCCAAGCAGUGAAAUGGUGAUUUAGCGAAUUAGUGAGUUGUCGUUCUGGGAACUCACUAAAUCACUAAGUCGCUAAAUCACCUUUGGUAAGGGUGAAAAGGUGCGGUAAGAGCGCACCAGCGGCUGGGUGACCAGUCCGGCUGGGUAAACCUCAGGGGUUGAAAGACCAAAUAAGCCAGUACGCGGCCCUUUCGGGGGGCGCACCGGGCGGCUCGUCCGGCGCUGGCGGGUAGGUUGAUGGAGCCCGCGCGCAAGUUCGGGCCUAGAUAAAUGGUGGGGCCGCUUGCCCUCGGGCGGGCGGACAAAACCCGGCUUACAGACUCAUCACGCCA
rnacentral:RNase_P_RNA from 1 species